rnacentral:rRNA from 1 species
GAUGAACGCUAGCGGCAGGCUUAAUACAUGCAAGUCGAGGGGCAACAGGGGUAGCAAUACCUGCUGGCGACCGGCAAACGGGUGCGCAACACGUACAGAACCUUCCUUUAAGCGGGGGAUAGCCCAUAGAAAUGUGGAUUAAUACCCAUGGUAUUAUUGAUUGGCAUCAGUUAAUAAUUAAAGAUUUAUCACUUAAAGAUGGCUGUGCGUCUGAUUAGGUAGUUGGCGGGGUAACGGCCCACCAAGCCAACGAUCAGUAACUGGUGUGAGAGCACGACCAGUCACACGGGCACUGAGACACGGGCCCGACUCCUACGGGAGGCAGCAGUAAGGAAUAUUGGUCAAUGGACGCAAGUCUGAACCAGCCAUGCCGCGUGAAGGAUGA